GAUAAUAAAGAAAUCCAAAGACCAAAAUACUCGAUCGGAGAACCUCACAAAGAACAAACCAAACUCGGUAUUAAAAUAAUAACCGGACAGCUCCAAAACCAGUGAAGAAAAACUUUACUAUACGAAACCCACAACCGAGAACGACAACACGAUUCGAUAAAGAUGACUCGAGAUCCACUAUCGACGAUGAACCAAGAAAUAAA
rnacentral:lncRNA from 1 species